UACGGUUCUACUUUUGAUUUACCAUUUUGGUAGGGAGGGGGUUUCCAAUGGCUUGUGCUUGUCCUAUCUUACUAGGGUCAUUCUUACCCCACACAUCAGAGUGCCAUUGUGGGAGGGAUGUCUCCUUCAAAAUAUAUCCAUUUCAACUAUUCACUCAAAAUAAUCCUGGGUUGGCUUUGAGAUUCCACUGUCUACUGUGGUGCAAAUUUGGUCUAUUAAUUAUCCCCAUUGGUUGGCAGACCACAUGCUUUUCUUUUGCCCCCAGAAAUUGGACUUAGCUUGGAGCCAGUAUCCUACAGAACUCCUCUCCCCAAGUUUGGGUAUUUUUCUUUUCCUUCUAUAGUUCCCAGAUAAAUGGACACAGAUCCCUUUAGGGAAGGCCAAGGAAGGUUCAUGAAAUUCAUUAAGUGUUAAAAUAAGGUUUCCCUUCAGAGAUAUUUGGCUUACUCUCCAUUGAAGGUCUGGAAAUUAGUGGGAGAUUUUGACUCCACCUUGGCAGCUUGAGACAGACCUGUUUGCCCAACCAGAAGUCUUUAGUUAUGGUUAUAACUAGGUAAUAUCUUAGGGACUGUCUGGUCUUCAUUCCUGGGACCCAGUGGUUGAUUAGCCACCGCUCGAGGUCUGGUUUCCAUGCCCAUGACCAUUGUGAUGACUCCUCUACUUUGUUCCUUGUAUCUAUCUCUGCUGCUGAGAUCAGGCUGCUCAUUUUCACAGCAGCUCUCCCAACCAGCAUUCCAGGCCUAGAGAGGAAAGCCAGCAGAACCUCACCCCUGUAUUUCUCGUGGCAAGGAGCAAGGUCACCUCCUGGGUCCUGUCGGAGGACAGGGAGAGGAUGGAUGGGCUGGAUGCAUGCAAGGGACCCAAUAAAGCAUUCUAUUCUCCUGAGAUCCAGCCUGCCAAGGAGAAGGGAUUCUCUUCCGCUCUGGACAAGAAUUGCCCCGACACAGGAAGUGGCCCCAGGAAACAGACACCAGAAACUGCUCAGGGAAAGGAGGUUGUUGUCAUAAUCACUGAUU